rnacentral:rRNA from 1 species
CUAGGUCGUCAGUUCAGAUUGUAGGCUGCAACCCGCCUGCAUGAAGUCAGAAUUGCUAGUAAUCGCGGAUCAGCAUGCCGCGGUGAAUACGUUCCCGGGCCUUGUACACACCGCCCGUCACACCAUGAGAGUCGGUAACACCCGAAGUCGGUAGUCUAACCGCAAGGAGGACGCCGCCGAAGGUGGGAUUGAUAAUUAGGGUGAAGUCGUAACAAGGUAAC